rnacentral:rRNA from 1 species
UACGUAGGGUGCGAGCGUUAUUCGGAAUUACUGGGCGUAAAGCGUGCGCAGGCGGUUUUGUAAGUCCGCUGUGAAAUCCCCGGGCUUAACCUGGGAAUGGCAUUUGGGACUGCAAGGCUUGAGUGCGGCAGAGGAGACUGGAAUUCCUGGUGUAGCAGUGAAAUGCGUAGAUAUCAGGAGGAAUACCGAUGGCGAAGGCAGGUCUCUGGGCUGACACUGACGCUCAUGCACGAAAGCGUGGGGAGCAAACGGG